rnacentral:rRNA from 1 species
UUAAAUUGAAGAGUUUGAUCAUGGCUCAGAUUGAAUGCUGGCGGCAGGCCUAACACAUGCAAGUCGAACGGUAACAGGAAAUAGCUUGCUGUUU